rnacentral:rRNA from 1 species
GAGUUUGAUCCUGGCUCAGAUUGAACGCUGGCGGCAUGCCUUACACAUGCAAGUCGAACGGCAGCACGGGAGCUUGCUCCUGGUGGGCGAGUGGCGAACGGGUGGGUAAUGCAUCGGAACGUAUCCUGGAGUGGGGGAUAACGUAGCGAAAGUUACGCUAAUACCGCAUAUUCUGUGAGCGGGAAAGCGGGGGACCUUCGGGCCUCGCGCUCUUGGAGCGGCCGAUGUCGGAUUAGCUAGUUGGUGAGGUAAAGGCUCACCAAGGCGACGAUCCGUAGCAGGUCUGAGAGGAUGAUCUGCCACACUGGAACUGAAACACGGUCCAGACUCCUACGGGAGGCAGCAGUGGGGAAUUUUGGACAAUGGGGGCAACCCUGAUCCAGCCAUGCCGCGUGAGUGAAGAAGGCC